rnacentral:lncRNA from 1 species
UGUUGCUAUCUGGACAAUCAAUGAACUGUUCAUGAUGCUCUCUCUGGCCACCUUCCAGACAGGAAGAAAGAGCAGAGGAUCACUGUGAGAGGAAUUUGAGGAUCAAAUCCUGAAGUGGUACAUGUCACUACUGUUCAUAGUCUCUUUGCUGGAACUUGGUCCUAUGGCCCUACUGGCAGAGAGGAAGGCUAUGAAACCCAGUCUAGGCCUGCGCCUAGAAGAAGAAGAAGAAGAAACACCUUUUGAAGAACAGAGAGCAGUCUCUGUCAUACCAGGAGUACCUGUCACAUACUUGUAGAACAAAAAUCAGUAACAUUUUAAUUAUUGAAACAAUGUAACAACUUUAAACACAGUUUCAUAACUAGGAGUGAAUCACCCAUAAUCUCAUACCCGGAACAAAAUAUCUGUUAGUAUGAUGCACCUUUACAUAGCUGUAAUCUUAAAGGGCAUGUACUUCCUUCUUUGCUUUCCUUUUUUUUUUUCUUCAUCCUUUCCCUCUCUCCCUCUCUCCCUCUCUCCCUUUCUCCCUUCCUUCUUUCUUUUCUUCCUUUCUUUCUGAUUUUCUAACUUCCUUCUUUAAACAUUCCUUGAUCGUCUGUGGGUCUGGACAGCAACAUGGAGAUCAAUUAGGCGCAGCAUUUUAAAUUUGCCCUCAAGAAGUUCCACUAGUGUAAGAGUAGGCAAGUAACCAAUUAUUACAAUAGUGGGACAAGCGCUGUGAUAGAAAUAAAUACAGAGUACUGUGGCAGUCCUUACCCAGAAAAAGAUAUCUAGGGUAGAUGGUAUCUGAACUGAGAAUUAAAGAAUAAAUAGAAGAUAGCAUGGCAAAAAAAGUUCAAGAGUGUUCCAUUCUUUGAGAAUAGGGCAUUGAGAUAGAACCUGUAGACAUGAGAUAGAACUGUGUGCAUCCUGGAAAUUGCACAUGGUUCAGAUUGAUUGGGAAAUAGAGUGUGGAUGGGAAGUGAUGAAAGCUGAGUCAGUAGAGUUCGAUGGGGGUCAAAUUGUGAAAGAGUGUGAGCUCUGCUAAGGAGAUGAUAUUUUAGCUUAAAUACCAGAAGAGCCAUUGAAUUAUUUUAAGCAUAGGAGUGAUCUAAUCGGAACUCUGCUUGAGAAAGAUAACCCUGGUUGCUGUGUGAAAAAAUAUACCAGAGGCAAACAAAGUUGAAGCCAGGAGACCAGUUAAAAGACAAAAUUCAUAAUUUAUAUGAGAUAUGAUGAUAGUUUGACUUAGGCUGUGAUUGACAUUGCAGAGUAACAUAUCGCAUUCAAGAGAUGUUUGGAUGAUGAAACCAAGAGGGCUUGGAAAUUGAUUGGAUAUGAGGCAUUAGAGGAAUAUGUUAGGGCUAGAUCCCAGGAUUCUGGUUUAGAUAAUUGGAUAGACAAUUAAAGCAGAAACUAUUGAAGAAGGGGAGAAGAUAAAGAGUUUUGAUUUUCAUUUCAAUUCUAAGGUAUUCUUGGAAAUAUAAGUAGAGGAUGCUGAUGGGGGUUGGUUAUAAAGCAAAUUCAAGAGUGAGACUUCUGGAGUUAAGAUACAUAAUCGGAUCUGUAAGAAUGAAAGAAAGAAGUUGUUCAGGGACUAUGUGUACAGUAUGAAGACCAACAUAUAAAUGAAAUAUAAAAGAACAAAAGCUGACAAUGGAGUCUGUGAAAGAGCAAACAAAAAAAUGAGGAAGAGAACAGAGCAUGAAGUCACAGAAACCAAGGGAAGAAAAUUUUAGAUGCCGAUCAAAGAUCAAGGAAAAUAAAGAUAAAAAUGUGUCAAUUAGAUUUGGUAUUAAAGAAAGCAUUAGUAUCUUUUUGAAUACAAUUUUAUGGCUGCAUGGCAAAGAAUCAGAUGACUGGAAUCAGGAAGUGAAUAGAAAGUGAGAAAUGAAAAGGGCUCUCGAUAAGGUUUCCCUUAUUGAGAUAGGAGGUAAGCUCUAAUGUUUAUUUGAAGUUUUUUUUUUUCUUCCAAAGCUGGGAAAGAUUUAAUAAAGUAUGAAUGCUUUUAAGGAAAAGUUUGUAGACAGAGAUUUUUUGACAAUAGUAGAGCAAAUCAUGGCGAAAUAAUUGAUAGGAUGAGGUCCCAAGAAAGCAAGAACACUCCUUGAGGAAGAAGCUUUCCAUUUUAACAGGCAGUAACAAAGAGCAAUGAAUCAGGAUGAGUCUACGUUUGUCAGUUUAGAGUGGAAAUUGUUGGUAGAGCUCAUGGGACAACUCCUAUUUUACUUGUGACAAAAGCUUAACUGCUGAGAGCAAACAGGGUGGUGGGAUCAGCUAUUAUUUUUAAAUGGAGAAAUUUAAAAAUCACAAUUGCGAAGUAAAAUCUUUCAAGAAAGAUAGAAGAGGAAUACUGCUUAGUGCUGUGCGCCUCUUUGAAGUCAGAGUUGAUGCAGUGACCACCAUGCCAAGGGCUGCUUCGGGGCUUUCUCCCACAGCGCUCAUUGAGCUAUGUGAGAAGGCGAAGAUGGAAAAUAGGUGAAUGACAGCACACAUAUCACACGAGUUUGGCAAGAGGAUAAGUGAGGCAAGGGUAGCAGCAAGAGAGUGAAGAAAAUGCUCAGCCAGAAAACCUAAGCUGACUAUGAAAGAAGGAAAACAGUUCCACAGACUGGAGAGUUGCAAGAGAUACAGAUUAAGCAACAGUAAUUAACUGAAGAAGAAUUAAUUAACUGAAAGAAGUAAUUAACUUCUUUCUUAGAAGAAGAAGAAAAAACGGUAAUAUCCUGAGCAUGUAUGUUUUACUUUACUAUGACAUAAAGAGUCCACGGAGAUCUAAAUAAAUAUUUGUUGAAUGAUGAACGAGUGGAUUUUUCUGUGUGCACAUAUAAACUUUCACCUGUUAUUAUACACCUAGGUUGCUUUUAUUUUCAGUUUGUUUUUGAAAUUAUCAGUAGAGUUUUUCUUUCAGAGUGUAC